rnacentral:rRNA from 1 species
UCCGGUUGAUCCUGCCGGACCCCACUGCUAUCGGGAUGGGACUAAGACAUGCUAGUCGAGCGUCUCCAAGCUAUGGAAGAGACGCGGCACACAGCUCAGUAACACGUGGCUAACCUGCCCUUGGGACAAGGACAACUCCGGGAAACUGGGGCUAAUCCCUGAUAAGUGAGAACUCCUGGAAUGGAUUCUCGCUCAAAGGACGUUUAGACCAUGCUUCUAGGCGUCGCCCAAGGAGGGGGCCGCGACCGAUCAGGUUGUUGGUGAGGUAACGGCUCACCAAGCCUUUAACCGGUACGGGCCGUGAGAGCGGAAGCCCGGAGAUGGGCACUGAGACAAGGGCCCAGGCCCUACGGGGCGCAGCAGUCGCGAAAACUCCGCAAUACACGAAAGUGUGACGGGGCUAUCCCGAGUGCCAUCCGCUGAGGAUGGCUUUUCCCCAGUGUAUAAAGCUGGGGGAAUAAGGAGAGGGCAAGCCUGGUGUCAGCCGCCGCGGUAAUACCAGCUCUCCGAGUGGUGGGGAUGUUUAUUGGGCCUAAAGCAUUCGUAGCCUGCUUGGCAAGUCCUCCGUUAAAUCCAACGAUUCAAUCGUUGGGCUGCGGGGGAUACUGUCCGGCUAGGGGGCGGGAGAGGCCGACGGUAUCCCCGGGGUAGGGGUGAAAUCCUAUAAUCCCGGGAGGACCACCAGUGGCGAAGGCUGUCGGCUAGAACGCGCUCGACGGUGAGGGAUGAAAGCUGGGGGAGCGAACCGGAUUAGAUACCCGGGUAGUCCCAGCUGUAAACGAUGCAGGCUAGGUGUUGGCGCGGCUACGUGCCGCUCCAGUGCCGCAGGGAAGCCGUUAAGCCUGCCGCCUGGGAAGUACGGCCGCAAGGCUGAAACUUAAAGGAAUUGGCGGGGGAGCAC